UCACGCCCAGGCUGUACCAAGGCAACGCCACCAGCAUCGACCCCCUGCUCGACUCCACCUACGCCAAGACGCUCAUGAACGCCUGCCCGAACACUCCAGCUUCGACGUCCACGGUGGACCUGGACGGCGCCACGCCGUUCAAGUUCGACGGCAACUACUACACCAACCUGCAGAACAAGCGGGGAGUGCUCGCCUCCGACGCCGCGCUCACGCAGAACGCCGCCGCCGCGACGAUUGUCAACGACCUGACCAACCCGAUCAAGUUCUAUGCCGCCUUCUCCAUGUCCAUGAAGAAGAUGGGCCGCGUCGACGUGCUCACCCUCAAGAACGGACAAGGGAAGAUCAGGACCAAGUGCAAUGUGCCGUGAGGGUUCAUCCAGGACCGCCAGCGAUUUUCUUGGAUUUUUUUACUCUCUCCCUCUCCCUCUUAUUUCAUCGGCGCGGAUCAAAUAUAUUGUGCCCGCCAUGAUUAAGCUCCCAAAUCUAUAUUGAUUUGUCAAGUGCUGUGCCUGAGUAUGUAAGAUUAUUAGUCACGACAUGCGUUGCAUUCCUCUUGCAAUCAAUCAAAGAAGGUGAUUCGGCACUUCUCUCUGCUCUCACUUGUCAGCCAUGUCCAAGUGUCGAAAUAUUCAGAGCAAGUGCAUCUUUCUUCAGAUAAUGCUUCGCUGGAUCCAACGGCCAUGCACGCUUCGCUUUUAAACCCCUCUACUUUUUGGUAAAUGCCGCUUUAUUACUUAAAAGUUUAAGCGUUACAUCUGGCCUCGUAACUAAAAUAACAUAACCAAACCAAGUCAACAAUGAAAAAACAAGAAAUACAAGAAAUUAUGAGUCUAGUAUGACUCCUAAAAUGUAGGAGCGACAUCUUUUCUUGAAUCCGGGAACAUAGUAGGAAUUUUGAUCAAAGAGCGUUUGAUGCCACAUGAAU
rnacentral:lncRNA from 1 species